AGUGGAUGGGGAGCAACCUAGUUGUGCGUGUGUAAAGGUAGUGCCAAGAAAAGCGAUGAUCAUGUUGAAAAUCAAUUCCCGGUACCCGAAACCGACACAGGUGGGCAAGUAGAGAAUACUAAGGGGCGCGAGGUAACUCUCUCCAAGGAACUCGGCAAAAUGACCCCGUAACUUAGGGAGAAGGGGUGCCACCGAGAGGUGGUCGCAGUGAAGAGGCCCAGGCGACUGUUUAGCAAAAACAUAGGUCUCUGCAAACUCGAAAGAGGAGGUAUAGGGGCUGACGCCUGCCCAGUGCCGGAAGGUUAAAGAAGUUGGUCAGUUUUAGGAUGAAGCUAGCGACUGAAGCCCCGGUGAACGGCGGCCGUAACUAUAACGGUCCUAAGGUAGCGAAAUUCCUUGUCGGGUAAGUUCCGACCCGCACGAAAGGCGUAACGAUCUGGGCGCUGUCUCGGAGAGAGGCUCGGCGAAAUAGGAUUGUCUGUGAAGAUACGGACUACCUGCAUUUGGACAGAAAGACCCUAUGAAGCUUUACUAUAGCUUGGAAUUGUGUUCGGGCUUCCUGUGCGCAGGAUAGGUGGGAGGCGUAGAAGGUAUUCUUGUGGGGAUACUGGAGCCAACGGUGAGAUACCACUCUCAGGAGGCUAGAAUUCUAACUUAAUUAAGGACAGUUUCAGGUGGGUAGUUUGACUGGGGCGGUCGCCUCCAAAAAGGUAACGGAGGCGUACAAAGGUUCCCUCAGACUGGUUGGAAAUCAGUCGAAGAGUGCAAAGGCAGAAGGGAGCUUGACUGCGAGAAGUACAGUUCGAGCAGGGUGGAAACACGGUCUUAGUGAUCCGACGGUGCUGUGUGGAAGGGCCGUCGCUCAACGGAUAAAAGUUACUCUAGGAUAACAGGCUGAUCUCCCCCAAGAGUUCACAUCGACGGGGAGGUUUGGCACCUCGAUGUCGGCUCAUCGCAACCUGGGGCGGAAGUACGUCCCAAGGGUUGGGCUGUUCGCCCAUUAAAGCGGUACGUGAGCUGGGUUCAGAACGUCGUGAGACAGUUCGGUCCAUAUCCGAUGUAGGCGUGAGAAUAUUGAGAGGAGCCUUCCUUAGUACGAGAGGACCGGGAAGGACGCACCGCUGGUGUACCUGUUAUGAUGCCAAUUGUAAACGCAGGGUAGCCAAGUGCGGAGAGGAUAACCGCUGAAAGCAUCUAAGUGGGAAGCCCACCUCAAGAUGAGUAUUCUGGUGUAAGGUCACGGGAAGACGACCCGUAAAUAGGCACGAGGUGGAAGUGCAGAGAUGUAUGAAGCCGAAGUGUACUAAUAGACCGUCGGCUUGAUC
rnacentral:rRNA from 1 species